rnacentral:rRNA from 1 species
CCUACGGGGUGCAGCAGUAGGGAAUCUUCGGCAAUGGACGAAAGUCUGACCGAGCAACGCCGCGUGAGUGAAGAAGGUUUUCGGAUCGUAAAACUCUGUUGUUAGAGAAGAGCAAGUAGGAGAGUAACUGCUCUUACCUUGACGGUAUCUAACCAGAAAGCCACGGCUAACUACGUGCCAGCAGCCGCGGUAAUACGUAGGAGGCAAGCGCUGUCCGGAUUUAUUGGGCGUAAAGGGCUCGCAGGCGGUUUCUUAAGUCUGAUGUGCAAGCCCCCGGCUCAACCGGGGAGGGUCAUUGGAAACUGGGGAACUUGAGUGCAGAAGAGGAGAGUGGAAUUCCACGUGUAGCGGUGAAAUGCGUAGAGAUGUGGAGGAACACCAGUGGCGAAGGCGACUCUCUGGUCUGUAACUGACGCUGAGGAGCGAAAGCGUGGGGAGCGAACAGGAUUAGAUACCCGCGUAGUC